ensembl:lncRNA
AUGCCCAGUAAUGGGAUUGCUGGGUCAAAUGGUAUUUCUACUUCUAGAUCCUUGAAGAAUCACUACACUGUCUUCCACAACGGUGGAACUACUUUACACUCCCACCAACAGUGUAAAAUUAUUCCUAUUUUUCCACAACCUUUCCAGCAUCUGUUGUCUCCUCCUUCAUUAUCUUCUCAUUUUAAAAUGUAUUUUCCUCUCAGGGUUAGGCAUCCUGCUGGCCAGUAAAGGACAAUAAUUCUGACUUCUGGAUGUAAACCAGGAAGUUGCAUGUUUAACAAGCAUCUCUAGAGACACUGAUACAAUUGAUUAGCUCUUCGCAUUUUGAGGAGGUGUGGAACACGCUAACAACAUCUGAAAUGUGGAUUGUUGAAAGAUUUUCCCAGCUUUGGCUGUACACUGGAAUCUCUAGGGUGUGUUUAAAAAUCCUGUUGUCCAAGCACAUACGAGAGCAAAUAAAUUAGAAUCUCUCAGUGUGGGAUCUGGGUAGAUACAGUUUUAUAAGGAAAUCUAACACAGUGCAAAGUUCCUAACUAUUAAUACAAUUUUUAAAAAGAUAUUAGCGAUUCUCCAGCAGAUUAGAGUUGGGGAACCAAUGAUUUAAAACAACAGAUUAUAUGACAAAUAAUAAGGAGAAUAAACACACAGAUACUAUGAAAGAGGCUGUCUUUUUUUGUGAUAAACUAUAAUCUUAGAAUAGUUUUAGGCUUAUAAAAAUAUUGCAAAGACAGUAUAGAGGGUUCCUGUACACCCAAGCUCAGUUUCGCAUACUGUUAAUAAUAACUAUAACAUACAUUAAAGUAUGUUACAAUUGUUACAACCAAUAAACAAGAAUUAAUAGCACAUUCUUAACUCAAAUUACUUCAUGUAAUUGUUUCCGUGUUUUUGGCCUUUCCUUAGCUUUCGUCGUAUGUCUUUUUCUCUCCUGGGAUCCCAUCCAGAUAUCACAUUACAUUUAGCCCUCAAGCUCCUCUUGACUAGCUCUUGACUGCGAUAGCAUCUAGGAUGUUCUUUUCUUUGUUUGGUUUUGUCCAUUUAUGUUUUAUUUGUUUAUACUUUCUUUCCAACUUUUAUUUUAGUUCAAGGGGUACAUGUGCAGCUUUGUUACAUGGGUAAAUUGUGUGUUGUGAGGAUUUGGUGUGUGGAUAAUUUUGUCACCCAGAUGUCAGCAUAGUACCUGAUAGGUCGUUUUUCAGUCCUCACUGUCCUCUCACCCUCCACCCUGAGGCAGGCGCUGGUGUUUACUCUGCCCUUCUUUGUGUCCAUGUGUACUUCGUGUUUUGUUCCCACUUACAAAUGAGAACAUGUGGUAUUUGGAGUGCCAUUCCUGUGUUAAUUUGCUUAGAAUAAUGACCUUCAGCCCCAGCCAUGUUGCUGCAAAGGACAUUGUCCUAAGAAAGGACAUGAUGUCAUUUUUUUUUUAUGGUUGCGUAAUAUGCUAUGGUGUGUGUGUACAAUAUUUCCUUUACCCACUCCGUGUUUAUGGGUAACUAGGUUGAUUCCAUGACUUUGCUAUUGUGAAUAGUGCUGUGGUGAACAUAUGCAUGUAUGUGUCUUUAUGGUAGAACAAUUUAUAUUCCCAGUUAUGAGGUUGCUAGGUUGAAUGGUAGUUCUGCUGUAAGUUCUUUGAGAAAUCUCUAGACAGCUUUCCACAAUGGUUGAACUAAUGUACAUUCCCACCAACAGUGUAUAAAUGUUCCCUUUUCUCCACAAUCUCAUCAGCAUCUGUUACUUUUUGACUUUUUAGUAAUGACCAUUCUGACAGGUGUGAAAUAAUAUCUCAGUUUGGUUUUGAUAUGCAUUUCCUUAAUGAUUAGUGAUAUUGAAUAUUUUUUUCUGUGCUGUUGACAACAUGACGCUCCUUUUGAGAAGUGUCUGUUCUUGUGCUUUGUCAGUUUUUAAUGGGGUUGUUUGUUUUUGUGCUUUUUGAUUUGUUUAAGUUCCUUAUAGAUUCUGUAUGUUAUACCUUUGUCAGAUGCAUAGUUUGCAAAUAUUAUUUUUCCCAUUCUGUAGGGUAUGUGUUUACUCGGUUGAUAGUUUUCUUUUGCUAUGCAGAAGCUUUUUAGUUUAAUUAGGCCCCAUCAUUAAUUUUUGUUUUCAUUGCAAUUUGUUUUGGAGCAUUAUGUCAAAUUACUAACAGCAUUUUUUAUAGAAU